rnacentral:rRNA from 1 species
UACGUAGGGCGCAAGCGUUGUCCGGAAUCACUGGGCGUAAAGGGCGCGUAGGCGGCCUGAUAAGUAGGGGGUGAAAUCCUGCGGCUUAACCGCAGGGCUGCCUUCUAAACUGUCAGGCUGGAGCACAGUAGAGGCAGGUGGAAUUCCCGGUGUAGCGGUGGAAUGCGUAGAGAUCGGGAAGAACAUCAGUGGCGAAGGCGGCCUGCUGGGCUGUUGCUGACGCUGAGGCGCGACAGCGUGGGGAGCAAACAGG